rnacentral:rRNA from 1 species
GUUGGAAACAGGUUAAUAUUCCUGUACUUCUGGUUACUGCGAUGGAGGGACGGAGAAGGCUAGGCCAGCUUGGCGUUGGUUGUCCAAGUUUAAGGUGGUAGGCUGAAAUCUUAGGUAAAUCCGGGGUUUCAAGGCCGAGAGCUGAUGACGAGUCGUCUUUUAGAUGACGAAGUGGUUGAUGCCAUGCUUCCAAGAAAAGCUUCUAAGCUUCAGGUAACCAGGAACCGUACCCCAAACCGACACAGGUGGUCGGGUAGAGAAUACCAAGGCGCUUGUGAGAACUCGGGUGAAGGAACUAGGCAAAAUGGCACCGUAACUUCGGGAGAAGGUGCGCCGGCUAGGGUGAAGGAUUUACUCCGUGAGCUCUGGCUGGUCGAAGAUACCAGGCCGCUGCGACUGUUUAUUAAAAACACAGCACUCUGCAAACACGAAAGUGGACGUAUAGGGUGUGACGCCUCCCCGGUGCCGGAAGGUUAAUUGAUGGGGUUAGCGCAAGCGAAGCUCUUGAUCGAAGCCCCGGUAAACGGCGGCCGUAACAAUAACGGUCCUAAGGUAGCGAAAUUCCUUGUCGGGUAAGUUCCGACCUGCACGAAUGGCGUAACGAUGGCGGCGCUGUCUCCACCCGAGACUCAGUGAAAUUGAAAUCGCUGUGAAGAUGCAGUGUAUCCGCGGCUAGACGGAAAGACCCCGUGAACCUUUACUGUAGCUUUGCACUGGACUUUGAGCCUGCUUGUGUAGGAUAGGUGGGAGGCUUUGAAGCGUGGACGCCAGUUCGCGUGGAGCCAUCCUUGAAAUACCACCCUGGCAUGCUUGAGGUUCUAACUCUGGUCCGUAAUCCGGAUCGAGGACAGUGUAUGGUGGGCAGUUUGACUGGGGCGGUCUCCUCCUAAAGAGUAACGGAGGAGUACGAAGGUGCGCUCAGACCGGUCGGAAAUCGGUCGCAGAGUAUAAAGGCAAAAGCGCGCUUGACUGCGAGACAGACACGUCGAGCAGGUACGAAAGUAGGUCUUAGUGAUCCGGUGGUUCUGUAUGGAAGAGCCAUCGCUCAACGGAUAAAAGGCACUCCGGGGAUAACAGGCUGAUACCGCCCAAGAGUUCAUAUCGACGGCGGUGUUUGGCACCUCGAUGUCGGCUCAUCACAUCCUGGGGCUGAAGCCGGUCCCAAGGGUAUGGCUGUUCGCCAUUUAAAGUGGUACGCGAGCUGGGUUUAGAACGUCGUGAGACAGUUCGGUCCCUAUCUGCCGUGGACGUUUGAGAUUUGAGAGGGGCUGCUCCUAGUACGAGAGGACCGGAGUGGACGAACCUCUGGUGUUCCGGUUGUCACGCCAGUGGCAUUGCCGGGUAGCUAUGUUCGGAAAAGAUAACCGCUGAAAGCAUCUAAGCGGGAAACUUGCCUCAAGAUGAGAUCUCACUGGGAACUUGAUUCCCCUGAAGGGCCGUCGAAGACUACGACGUUGAUAGGCUGGGUGUGUAAGCGUUGUGAGGCGUUGAGCUAACCAGUACUAAU